UACGAAGGGGGCGAGCGUUGUUCGGAAUUACUGGGCGUAAAGGGCGCGUAGGCGGCGACUCUAGUCAGAUGUGAAAGUCCUGGGCUUAACCUGGGGACUGCAUUUGAUACUGGGUUGCUUGAAUUCGGGAGAGGAUAGCGGAAUUCCCAGUGUAGAGGUGAAAUUCGUAGAUAUUGGGAAGAACACCGGUGGCGAAGGCGGCUAUCUGGACCGACAUUGACGCUGAGGCGCGAAAGCGUGGGGAGCAACAGG
rnacentral:rRNA from 1 species